CUUUGCAAAUGCAACCAUACAAAUCUGGAUUAGUUGGACCAGUGAGCUGCCGAUAACACAUGGUUAUACUUAAAAAUGAAAAAACUGACCCUAACCAGCUUCUUCAAGAUCCUUAGCCCAAAAAUCUGUUUGCUUUCUAAAACCAUUUUUGCCAAACUAAGUUCCAUGCUCUUGCUCUCCAUCACUUCUCUUCCGUGCAUUCAAAUGGUGUUCGAAAUGUCGACUUUGGGCCAAGUGAUUCACGCCCUUUUACAUGAAUAUUCUGGUUUGUUUUAAGCGUGUAUGUGUUCUCUGUUUUGGUAGAUUUGCGUGCCAAGUCAUUGUUUACCUAGAGCCGCCGUGUUAUUUGAUGAAAUUCCUGUGAUGAACACUGCUCUGAAUUUCUUGACAAUGCAAAACCAUUUCUAAGGACUUUCUUUUCCCCGAGCUUAUACAAAAUGACAACAAAAUGUAAAACAGUACCAAGGGAAAAGACAUCACCAUUCAUUUCCAUGAUAAUGUUCAUUUAUCAGCCAGUGCAUCUUUUGUGGCUUUGUUUGUGGAGACGAUGAUGUUCGUGGCCUGGUUCGUGGGCUGAAAUGGCUCCACGAUUCAGAUCGUGGAGCUG